rnacentral:lncRNA from 1 species
CGAGAUCACAGGGUGGAACCUUAACUGGAUACGGCUGGUGCACUUAUAAGAAGAGGAAGAGACCCCAGAGCUCUCUUUCUCUGCCUUGUGAUGACAUAGUGAGAAGGCAGCUGUCUACAAACCAGGAUAAGAGCUCUCGCCAGGAACAAAAUUGGUAGGCGCCUUGAUCUUGGACCUCUCAGCCUCCAGAACUGAAUUUGAACUUGAAUAUAUUUGGCAAGUUUGUACUAUUUAACUCAAGGACUCUGACUUCACUGAUUCUGUUAUAAUUAACUCAACGAGCAUACAAUAUUGUUUAAAUUCUCUUAGAAUUAGGUAAUCAUCUAUUUUCCUCCUGGCACAGGUUGUGCAAGUGAAAAUAGUGAAGACUAUAGUAGAAUCAUUUUAAUAACACAAUGCAGAAUCUCUAAUUUUUCAUCUACACAAAUGGUCUGUAGAUCUUUUUAAUAUACUUUGCAUUUAUAUAGCAUUUCUUGUUCCCAAGUAUUUUAAUUUAUACAUUACUCUGACAGUUACUACAUGCCUACUAUACAUCAUGAACUAUGUUGGCACUGGGGAAAAAAAUGAUGAACAAAAAUCAUGAGAGAGACGUAUAAUUAAAUUUUUAAAAAUUACAGCCAACAUUUACAUAGUGCUUACUAGGCUCCAGGCACUGUUCUAAGUGUUGUAUAUACACUAAAUCAUUUAAGACUCACAACAACCCUUAAAGGUAGGUUCUAUUACUAUCCCCAUUUUAAAGAUGAGGAAACUGAAGCACCCAGAUUCCAAGCCAAGCAGUCUUGGCCCCAAAACCUCUGCUCUUAGCCACUCAACUGUACUCCACUGCCUCUCCAAUCACACAAGUAAAUGUAAAACUGCUACUGUGCUAUGCGUAAGAAGGAGAUGUACAAAAGCCAUUAAAGUCUGCUUGAGUUGAGAUCUGAAAGAUGAGUUAAGUAGGUAGAAAAGGGUGAAGGCAGAGGGAACAAGUAAAAAAGCCCUGUUGUGGAGCACGGUGAGGACAAAGGACCGAACCAUGGCUAGUUGACUCCAGCAGGAAUGCAAGAGGGAUGAUGAUGCAGGAU